rnacentral:tRNA from 1 species
UGUUCUGUGGCAUAGUUGGUUAUAGCACCAGUGUCGCGUACAUGGAGUCAUGAGUUCGAGUCUCAUUAGAACGC